AUACGGAGGAUGCAAGCGUUAUCCGGAUUUAUUGGGUUUAAAGGGUGCGUAGGCGGUUUGCUAAGCGGGAGGUGAAAUGCCGGCGCUCAGCGUCGGAAGUGCCUCCCGAACUGGUGGACUGGAAUGACUCUGCCGUGGGAGGAAUGUGUAGUGUAGCGGGGAAAUGCUUAGAGAUUACACAGAACACCGAUUGCGAAGGCAUCUCACGAAGGGUUGAUUGACGCUGAGGCACGAAAGCGUGGGGAUCAAACAGGAUUAGAUACCCUGGUAGUCCACGCAGUAAACGAUGAUGGCUAACCGCUGGUUUUUUCGGAUCAGUGGCCAAGCGAAAGCGAUAAGCCAUCCACCUGGGGAGUACGACCGCAAGGUUGAAACUCAAAUGAAUUGACGGGG
rnacentral:rRNA from 1 species